rnacentral:rRNA from 1 species
GACGAACGCUGGCGGCGUGCUUAACACAUGCAAGUCGAACGGUAAGGCCCUUCGGGGUACACGAGUGGCGAACGGGUGAGUAACACGUGGGUGAUCUGCCCUGCACUUCGGGAUAAGCCUGGGAAACUGGGUCUAAUACCGGAUAGGACCACUGCCUGCAUGGGUGGUGGUGGAAAGCUUUCGCGGUGUGGGAUGGGCCCGCGGCCUAUCAGCUUGUUGGUGGGGUGAUGGCCUACCAAGGCGAUGACGGGUAGCCGGCCUGAGAGGGUAACCGGACACACUGGGACUGAGAUACGGCCCAGACUCCUACGGGAGGCAGCAGUGGGGAAUAUUGCACAAUGGGCGCAAGCCUGAUGCAGCGACGCCGCGUGAGGGAUGACGGCCUUCGGGUUGUAAACCUCUUUCAGCACCGACGAAGCGCAAGUGACGGUAGGUGCAGAAGAAGGACCGGCCAACUACGUGCCAGCAGCCGCAGUAA